rnacentral:rRNA from 1 species
UACGUAGGGUGCAAGCGUUAAUCGGAAUUACUGGGCGUAAAGCGUGCGCAGGCGGUUCGCUAAGACAGAUGUGAAAUCCCCGGGCUUAACCUGGGAACUGCAUUUGUGACUGGCGGGCUAGAGUAUGGCAGAGGGGGGUAGAAUUCCACGUGUAGCAGUGAAAUGCGUAGAGAUGUGGAGGAAUACCGUUGGCGAAGGCAGCCCCCUGGGCCAAUACUGACGCUCAUGCACGAAAGCGUGGGGAGCAAACAGG